rnacentral:rRNA from 1 species
AACGAACGCUGGCGGCAGGCCUAACACAUGCAAGUCGAGCGAGAUCUUCGGGUCUAGCGGCGGACGGGUGAGUAACGCGUGGGAAUAUGCCCUUCUCUGCGGAAUAGCCUCGGGAAACUGAGCGUAAUACCGCAUACGCCCUUUGGGGGAAAGAUUUAUCGGAGAAGGAUUAGCCCGCGUUGGAUUAGGUAGUUGGUGGGGUAACGGCCUACCAAGCCGACGAUCCAUAGCUGGUUUGAGAGGAUGAUCAGCCACACUGGGACUGAGACACGGCCCAGACUCCUACGGGAGGCAGCAGUGGGGAAUCUUAGACAAUGGGGGCAAUCCUGAUCGAGCCAUGCCGCGUGAGUGAUGAAGGCCUUAGGGUUGUAAAGCUCUUUCAGCUGGGAAGAUAAUGACGGUACCAGCAGAAGAAGCCCCGGCUAACUCCGUG